CCUCAUGCUCGCACAGUACCAUUUCCAAACACUGAAAACUCUCACAUGGCUGCCGCCGCCCUCUCCUCUCAUCUCACCUUCCCUUCGCGUGUCUGAACAUGGCCGUCGCCGCCCUCUCCUCUCAUCUCACCUUCCCUUCGCGUGUCUCGCGUGUCUGAAUCUCACGUGGCCGCUGUCGCCCUCUCCUCUCCACCGCUAGUCGCUUGCAAACCACAAUAAGCUUAAGGGAAAGAUCCUCUCCUCUCCACCGCCGCCGCCCUCAUCCUCCAUUGCCAGUUAAGGAAAACGAAAAGGGGUAGUGUAAAGAAAACGAAAGGGGCAGAAAAGGGGCAAGAGAAACACAAGGAACAACAAGAGAUCCAGCUGUUGCCAGAACCAGAACACCAAGCCAAGAGGAACCAGUACAACUUUUAAUAUCAAGGUUCUGUUGAGGAGGUUCCUGGAGAUCAAGGCGAGGAACGUGAAGGAGUUUGUGAGGAAAACGCUGGAGGAGCUACAGUUGAGUAUGGCGGACCGGUUCACGAUGGUUCACCCUUCAGGGGAAACUAGGUUGAAGAAGCUUGAUCAGGAGGACUACGGUUCGGGGGUGGUCGACCCCACUGGCCACCGAGAGACUUACUCGAGAUGGGAUUAGUGUAGGAGUAGUGUCGAUGCUCUGACCGUCAUGCUUCAGUUUUGGGGACAUGGUAGUUUCCUACCGGUAGCUUUUUGUGUGGUUUCCUAUGGAGAUCACAGAGAGCUGGUUGGAUUUAGGGGGUCUUUUCUUAGGCCGCUGGGCCAACUUGUUCUCAGAUUUUGAGGUUUAGUGUUGCGGACACAGUAUUUUUACCUUGGUUUGUACUUUUGCCUACGGGCGUUACUCUCUUUUACUUUCCGUCACUGGAGGGUUACUCGUGACGUGGUUUACAACUUACAGUGGGGGCUGUAAUCAUAUUGUAUAUUAGUUCUGUUA